rnacentral:tRNA from 1 species
AGCUCAGUGAUAGAGCACUUGCCUAGUGUGUUAGAGGUCCUGGGUUCAAUUCCCGG